rnacentral:rRNA from 2 species
UAAUCUACCCUUUAGAUUGGAAUACCCAAUGGAAACAUUGGCUAAUGCCGGAUACGCAUGGAAUCGCAUGAUUCCGUUGUGAAAGGAGCCUUUAAAGCUCCGCUAGAGGAUGAGGGUGCGGAACAUUAGUUAGUUGGUAGGGUAAUGGCCUACCAAGACUAUGAUGUUUAGCCGGGUCGAGAGACUGAACGGCCACAUUGGGACUGAGAUACGGCCCAAACUCCUACGGGAGGCAGCAGUAGGGAAUAUUCCACAAUGAGCGAAAGCUUGAUGGAGCGACACAGCGUGCACGAUGAAGGUCUUCGGAUUGUAAAGUGCUGUUAUAGGGAAAGAACACCUGGUUGAGGAAAUGCUUCCAGGCUGACGGUACCCUGUCAGAAAGCGAUGGCUAACUAUGUGCCAGCAGCCGCGGUAAUACAUAGGUCGCAAGCGUUAUCCGGAAUUAUUGGGCGUAAAGCGUUCGUAGGCUGUUUAUUAAGUCUGGAGUCAAAUCCCAGGGCUCAACCCUGGCUCGCUUUGGAUACUGGUAAACUAGAGUUAGAUAGAGGUAAGCGGAAUUCCAUGUGAAGCGGUGAAAUGCGUAGAUAUAUGGAAGAACACCAAAGGCGAAGGCAGCUUACUGGGUCUAUACUGACGCUGAGGGACGAAAGCGUGGGGAGCAAACAGGAUUAGAUACCCUGGUAGUCCACGCCGUAAACGAUGAUCAUUAGUCGGUGGAGAGUUCACUGACGCAGCUAACGCAUUAAAUGAUCCGCCUGAGUAGUAUGCUCGCAAGAGUGAA